rnacentral:rRNA from 1 species
AGAACGAACGCUGGCGGCAGGCCUCAAACAUGCAAGUCUAGGGGGUGUAGCAAUACAUCACCGGCGGACGGGUGCGUAACGCGUGGGAAUGUACCUAUUGGUUCGGAACAACUGAGGGAAACUUCAGCUAAUACCGGAUGAGCCCGAAAGGGGAAGAUUUCUCGCCAAUAGAUCAGCCCGCGCCCGAUUAGCUAGUUGGUGGGGUUAAAGCCUACCAAGGCGACGAUCGGUAGCUGUUCUGAGAGGAAGAUCAGCCACACUGGGACUGAGACACGGCCCAGACUCCUACGGGAGGCAGCAGUUGGGAAUCUUGGACAAUGGGGGAAACCCUGAUCCAGCCAUGCCGCGUGAGUGAUGAAGGCCUUCGGGUUGUAAAACUCUUUCGACGGGGACGAUAAUGACGGUACCCGUAGAAGAAGCUCCGGCUAACUUCGUGCCAGCAGCCGC